GCAGCCGCGGUAAUACGUAGGUGGCGAGCGUUGUCCGGAUUUACUGGGCGUAAAGGAUGCGUAGGUGGAUACUUAAGUGGGAUGUGAAAUCCCCGGGCUCAACUCGGGAGCUGCAUUCCAAACUGGAUAUCUAGAGUGCAGGAGAGGAAAGCGGAAUUCCUAGUGUAGCGGUGAAAUGCGUAGAUAUUAGGAGGAACACCAGUGGCGAAGGCGACUUUCUGGACUGUAACUGACACUGAGGCAUGAAAGCGUGGGUAGCAAACAGGAUUAGAUACCCUGGUAGUCCACGCCGUAAACGAUGGGUACUAGGUGUAGGAG
rnacentral:rRNA from 1 species